GCCUGGGUGGCUCAAUCGGUUAAGCGUCUGACUUCGGUUCAGGUCAUGAUCUCACGGUCCGUGAGUUCGAGCCCCACGUCGGGCU
rnacentral:tRNA from 1 species